rnacentral:rRNA from 1 species
GAUGAACGCUGGCGGCGUGCCUAACACAUGCAAGUCGAGCGAUUCUCUUCGGAGAAGAGCGGCGGACGGGUGAGUAACGCGUGGGUAACCUGCCUCAUACACAUGGAUAACAUACCGAAAGGUAUGCUAAUACAGGAUAAUAUAAGAGAUUCACAUGUAUUUCUUAUCAAAGCUCCGGCGGUAUGAGAUGGACCCGCGUCUGAUUAGCUAGUUGGUAAGGUAACGGCUUACCAAGGCGACGAUCAGUAGCCGACCUGAGAGGGUGAUCGGCCACAUUGGAACUGAGACACGGUCCAA